GGGAAUGUGGCUUAGUGGUAGAGUGCUUGCCUAGCAUGCAUGAAGCCCUGGGUUCGAUUCCUCAGCACCA
rfam:Dipodomys ordii contig_52120, whole genome shotgun sequence.